rnacentral:lncRNA from 1 species
AAGACAAUAUGUUACUGUACCUUGCUUUCCUUUUAACUCUACAACAAGCACCCGCUCUUUAUUUAUUUUUCUCCUUCCCGAUCUGGAAGGCUCUAUCUUUCUAUUUCUUUCAACCUACCAUGAGCUGCCAAGUGGCACCAGUAACACAUUUAUAACUAUAAAUAAUAUUUUAAUAAAAUUAGGAUGAUAUAGAAACAUUUUAAUGGAAUAUCAAUGAAAUAAUAUAUGUUAAUGUAAUAUGAAAUUGGUAUCAUAAUCAAAUCUCAAUUAAAUAGUGAAAUCUAAAUCUUUUGUGAAAAUAUGAAUAAGAUCGGAAGGAAAUAUCAAUGAAUCAAUGAAAUAUCUUUUAUGGAUUGCAGCUGGAUUUGUACAAACACUCAAUUGCCUAAAUGAAAAAAAAACGUUUGGGUGAAAAAAAACAUCAUGGAGAGAGGGGUGGAGUGCGGGCUGAUUUCAAGAAAACUAACGGGUCUAAAUGUAACACCACCGAAUGCUUCCUCUC